rnacentral:rRNA from 1 species
UAUGGUAUAACUUAGUGGCAGACGGGUGAGUAAUGUAUAGGAAUCUACCUAAUAGUACGGAAUAAUUGUUGGAAACGGCAACUAAUACCGUAUACGCCCUACGGGGGAAAAAUUUAUUGCUAUUAGAUGAGCCUAUAUUAGAUUAGCUAGUUGGUGGAGUAAUAGCCUACCAAGGCAAUGAUCUAUAGCUGAUCUGAGAGGAUGAUCAGCCACACUGGAACUGAGAUACGGUCCAGACUCCUACGGGAGGCAGCAGUGGGGAAUAUUGGACAAUGGGCGAAAGCCUGAUCCAGCCAUGCCGCAUGAGUGAAGAAGGCCUUUGGGUUGUAAAGCUCUUUUAGUGAGGAAGAUAAUGACGGUACUCACAGAAGAAGUCCUGGCUAACUCCGUGCCAGCAGCCGCGGUAAUACGGAGAGGGCUAGCGUUAUUCGGAAUUAUUGGGCGUAAAGGGCGCGUAGGCGGAUUAGUAAGUUAAAAGUGAAAUCCCAAGGCUCAACCUUGGAAUUGCUUUUAAAACUGCUAAUCUAGAGAUUGAAAGAGGAUAGAGGAAUUCCUAGUGUAGAGGUGAAAUUCGUAAAUAUUAGGAGGAACACCAGUGGCGAAGGCGUCUAUCUGGUUCAAAUCUGACGCUGAGGCGCGAAGGCGUGGGGAGCAAACAGGAUUAGAUACCCUGGUAGUCCACGCUGUAAACGAUGAAUGUUAAAUAUGGGAAGUUUUACUUUCUGUAUUACAGCUAACGCGUUAAACAUUCCGCCUGGGGACUACGGUCGCAAGAUUAAAACUCAAAGGAAUUGACGGGGACCCGCACAAGCGGUGGAGCAUGUGGUUUAAUUCGAUGCAACGCGAAAAACCUUACCACUCCUUGACAUGGAAAU